GACGAACGCUGGCGGCGUGCCUAAUACAUGCCAGUCGAACGCUGAAGGAGGAGCUUGCUUCUCUGGAUGAGUUGCGAACGGGUGAGUAACGCGUAGGUAACCUGCCUGGUAGCGGGGGAUAACUAUUGGAAACGAUAGCUAAUACCGCAUAAUAGUAGAUGUUGCAUGACAUUUGCUUAAAAGGUGCAAUUGCAUCACUACCAGAUGGACCUGCGUUGUAUUAGCUAGUUGGUGAGGUAACGGCUCACCAAGGCGACGAUACAUAGCCGACCUGAGAGGGUGAUCGGCCACACUGGGACUGAGACACGGCCCAGACUCCUACGGGAGGCAGCAGUAGGGAAUCUUCGGCAAUGGACGGAAGUCUGACCGAGCAACGCCGCGUGAGUGAAGAAGGUUUUCGGAUCGUAAAGCUCUGUUGUAAGAGAAGAACGAGUGUGAGAGUGGAAAGUUCACACUGGGACGGUAUCUUACCAGAAAGGGACGGCUAACUACGG
rnacentral:rRNA from 1 species